GGGUGCCUGAAAUGUGCGAUAUAGCCUGCCGUUUUUGAACCUACAAUUUCUUAAACAGGGCUUCCCACAUCGUUUCCCGGCUGUCAGGCCUUACUCUGCACAUAGUGCAGACGUCGGAGGAAGGCAAAAAGGAAACUGCGGUUGCCCACCUGGCUUUGCGCUAGGGAGUCAAAAAGGCGGGUCCGGCAUUUCGGGUUAUCU
rnacentral:other from 1 species